CUCGGCUUCAGCUGAUUGCGCUCGAGCGAGGAUGCUGCCCCAAAUUGCGCAUGAGCAGAAAACACUCCCCACCACCUGCUUCCUUCUCGGCCAGGCGCACCGCCGACGAAUCGGCGAUGAUCUGGGUCUGGCCGCCCGCUCCGCCACAACGCAGGACAGCUACCCCUCUCAGCUCAUUUGCGACCAUGGAAUUCCACGUGCUGCGGCUGCUUCCGUCGGUGGGAGAGGUGGCGGCCCUUCGGCGGCCCCUUCCAUCUCCGCCACCGCAGCACCCUCCCACAGCGACGUUCUCGUCUAGACUGGCCAGCUGCCGAUGGCAUCAAAUCCCGGCGGCAAUCCAUGGAGAGACCCUAGGUCUGCGCACGGGAUGGGGCUUGACCAGCCUUCCACGGCAAUCUGACCUCUUGCUCGCGGGCGUGACACCAGAGAGAGUUACUGCAUACGAGCUUCCCUGCAGAUGUGCGUGAUGUGCAGAUAUCGGAACUAUUCCAUGAAUGGCUGAAAACAAGCACUCCACCUGGUCCAGCAGAAGAAUAGAACCUGUAUUGCCUGAGCCAGGUUCUAGUUCGUGCUAUACCACUCCCUCAAUAAGCUAGGGAGUAGGAAAACUGAAAUGUGUUCUCAAGAGCAAGAGCUUCAGCCCAGAAGAACAGUUAUGAUGCCUUUGUCGCCAACUUAAGCUGGUUGCAUUUUGGAGUAAUUUUAUUUGUCAAACAUGCACUAUGAGAUGUAAAAAUACAUACAAUUGUUAUCCGCGUUGCCAAUCACUUUGGACCAUGUAAAAGAAAACCAUUCCUAUGUUGCAUCCUUGUUAUACAUGUCUAUAAUUUCUGAUAAA